rnacentral:misc_RNA from 1 species
CCCGCAACAACCAACAACACC